UGUUGUCAUGUCAUAAGACAACAUCUGUAUUGCAAACUGUGUUGCUGUUACUGUUGGUUUUAGCGCAGGCAUAACAAAUCAACGAUAUUACCAUAGAAAACCACUGCACAUUCCUUAAAAACGAAAGAGCGCUUAUGGACACACAAAUCGGAUAUGAACAGUUGCGAUAUGCUGUGUGAACAGUCAGUUAUUCAAAUCAGAUUCCAUCCGGAUAUGCACAAAAUCGGAUUUGGGCUGACAGUCUGAACGAGGCUUAUGGCAUCACUGUGAAAACCACCCGCUUCGGAUGUUAUCACUCUAUUGAAUAAGCGUUAUCAGUGGAUAUCAGUUUAUAGAUAUAGGCCAGAAGCUGGCGCCUACUGGUAGGCUCAGAAGGUUGUUAUCAUUUAUCCACAUGGUUAAUCCCCACACGCAUGUAUGAAGGUGAAUUUACCACUGGAGUACCAGCAGAGGCGAUCGUUUCCCCAAUGCCAACAACUGCAUACGGACCAAAGACCAGCGAAAUAGCGCAUUAAAAGAUGGAUUUAGAUGACUUCAGGACACAUAUACAGUUACGUCAGAUCACAUACUCCAGCAGCUCUUUUAAGAAGCCAUCUCUUGUAAAGAAAGCUGCUGGAAUUAACAGGGAACUUGAACUCGAAGCUGUCGAUGCUGAUCUUGAAGAAGCUGCCAAGGAGGCUGAACAAGUCCUUCAAAG